rnacentral:rRNA from 1 species
UACGUAGGAUCCGAGCGUUGUCCGGAUUUACUGGGUGUAAAGGGUGCGCAGGCGGACUGGUAAGUCAGUGGUGAAAUCUCGUCGCUUAACGCGAAACUGCCUUUGAUACUAUCAGUCUUGAAUCCGGUAGAGAUCUGUGGAAUUCCGAGUGUAGCAGUGAAAUGUGUAGAUAUUCGGAAGAACACCAGUGGCGAAGGCAGCAGAUUGGGCCGGUAUUGACGCUCAGGCACGAAAGCAUGGGGAUCAAACAGG